GAAACUCUUCUCUAUUCCUAUCACUAUCCAAAGCCUGUAAAAGUUGGUCUUACAGUACACUGUUGGUUUGGGAAAAAAUCUUUUAGAAUUCUUGGACCUUUGAAGGGAGUAUGUGUAGUAUAGGUUUUCUUUUUCCCUCUUGGUUUUGAGAGAAAGCUAAAAAGAUAGGGAAUGGGUAGAAAUUAAACAAUGGCUUCAAUAAACGGGGAAAACAAAAGUGAAAACAAAAACACUAAAAAAUAGAAAAAACAAAAGUCUGCAAACAGCUUCCAUGUCUGCUUCUCUGUUUCUUAGUGUUUGUAACAUUUGAGUCAAAACAAACCUGUGGGUUCAGUGUUUCUCUGAGCAGGUAGGAGGUUGUCAGCCUAAAAGAGUCAGACUGAAGCUUUCAUUCAUGAACCUUCACAUCUGAUCAACUUUCCAAUCUCAAUUCAUCAGCUAAACUGUUCACUAUGCAGAAAAUCCUUUGCUCUGAAGCCUUAGGGACAAGACCUGCAGUGACCUGCUGCUACCAGAACUGACUCGCUUCAAAGUGACGGAUGAAACCCAUAUGGAGAUAUUCCUGGGGUGGGUAGGCCAGUUGGAAGACAGAGUGUUUACACCUGAGAGAGGACUUGAGGUUUGGUGCAGCACAGGAGCCCCCACCAGAAGCUGAGCAGAGGUACAGCCUACAGAACCAUGAGCAAAAUUAAC
rnacentral:lncRNA from 10 species